GAGCUGUGCCCCACGCUCCCGCUGCAACAGUCCCGGGCAUCGCAGCUGCCAGUCAAGGCUAGGAGGCGGUCGGGGACUCCGCCUCCUCCCGACCCGUAGGUCUGGGAGCGCAAGUCCUGUUGCAGUCUUGCAAAGUGUAAAGCUGUCAGCCGCAGAGCACGGAGGAAAGACGGAGAGAAUGGAAGAGCUCCUGUCCGGUGUGCCAGCAGCCCGGACUGGCGGUGAGCGCGAGGGAGGCUACUGAGAAGCCCGGCGACGGAGGAACGCAGGUCUGCUGCCAGGGAUUGAGGAGACUGAAGAAUGCUGAAGACAGGCUGAUGGGCUCAGCUGGUAGGCUCCACUAUCUCGCCAUGACUGCUGAAAAUCCCACUCCUGGAGACCUGGCUCCGGCCCCCCUCAUCACUUGCAAACUCUGCCUGUGUGAGCAGUCUCUGGACAAGAUGACCACACUCCAGGAAUGCCAGUGCAUCUUUUGCACAGCUGUGAGAACACCUUAUAUGAAGAAUGCCUGUGACUUUGGUACAUCGGAAUCUGAUACCCUUGAAAGGGGUCUAGGAGACACCUGUUUCUGAGUAGAUUCCAUUGCAUACAAUUCAUAGACUCUCAGAGUUGGAAGAGACAAUAUGAGUCGUCUGGUUCACCAGGUGUUUGGUUACAUUUUUGGUUAGAUCCCAUAUGAAUCCUUAAAGGUUGUGGAGUGAGUUUGACGAACAAUCCUUAUUAUUUUGCAUGACCCUUCAUGGCCUAAAAAUAAUUCUGUGUUUUACCAAACUAAGUAAAAUGUUGACUAUACAAAAGAAAAAGGUUUUUUUCCCUUGGGUCAUUUGGGUUUUGAGAUGUUCUAUUUGAAACAUUUUCCUUACAAUUUGUUACCUGUUAAGAAAAUUGCUUAUUUAAAUAUCUGUUGAAUGCUACUUAAUAAAUGUAACUUUCAAAAUGUGA
rnacentral:lncRNA from 1 species